GGGCGCGUAGUUCAGUGGAUAGAACAUCAGAUUCCGGUUCUGACGGUCGGGGGUUCAAAUCCCUCCGCGCUCA
rfam:Rivularia sp. PCC 7116, complete genome.